rnacentral:rRNA from 1 species
CCUACGGGAGGCAGCAGUAGGGAAUCUUGCGCAAUGGGCGAAAGCCUGACGCAGCCAUGCCGCGUGAAUGAUGAAGGUCUUAGGAUUGUAAAAUUCUUUCACCGGGGACGAUAAUGACGGUACCCGGAGAAGAAGCCCCGGCUAACUUCGUGCCAGCAGCCGCGGUAAUACGAAGGGGGCUAGCGUUGCUCGGAAUUACUGGGCGUAAAGGGCGCGUAGGCGGAUAGUUUAGUCAGAGGUAAAAGCCCAGGGCUCAACCUUGGAACUGCCUUUGAUACUGGCUAUCUUGAGUACGGGAGAGGUGUGUGGAACUCCGAGUGUAGAGGUGAAAUUCGUAGAUAUUCGGAAGAACACCAGUGGCGAAGGCGACACACUGGCCCGUUACUGACGCUGAGGCGCGAAAGCGUGGGGAGCAAACAGGAUUAGAUACCCUGGUAGUCCACGCCGUAAACGAUGAGUGCUAGUUGUCGGCAUGCAUGCAUGUCGGUGACGCAGCUAACGCAUUAAGCACUCCGCCUGGGGAGUACGGUCGCAAGAUUAAACNCAAAGGAUUGACGGNGNGAGAGNGCGACGACGACGACGAGGGAGAG